UGUAGAUAUACAGUAGAGAGAGAGAGAAGACGCAAUGAUGAGAUCACAGAGAUCUUUAAUCCUCUUUCUGACCAAACACUGCCAACCUUACCACUGCCAUCAUAAACUCCCCCUAUACUAUACCCAUAGGAGAAUACCAAUUAAACUGUAUAUUUCACUCAUCUUCCCCCUAUAAUUCCCCCCAAUUUUUCUCUUUCUCUCUCUAGAAUUUGGGAUUUGGUCUUUUUGUUGUUGGGUUUGCCUGCUCUGCUGGCUAUUGUUAACCCCUAUGACCAGUUUUGGUAAUUAGGUCAAGUGAGUCAGUCCACAUAAUAGGGCUGAAGAAGCAAGUGCACAAUUAAGAGGCACAAAUACCAAAAGUAGAGAGAGAGAGAGAGAGAGAGAGAGAGAGAGAGAGAGAUGGGUUAGGCAGGCAAGGGAGCUGGUUUAGCCUCUCUCUUUUAGUCUGGUUUGGGUUUAAUUACGGGAGGACCCUUUUGGAAAAAAUUGGUGGUGGUGGUGGGGUUGUUUGUGAUAUGGAACUGAAAACAUUGAAUGGCAGAACCUUUUGGGAGAACCAGAAGCAGAAGAAGCAGAACCAGGAAAAGCAGAAGCAGCUUCAGGGCUCAGAGGGGAGGUGGCAGCACAAGCAUCAGGAGGUCACACCAGCAAAGAAAAACCACUAGCAAAAAAAAAAGUCUAUUUGCAAAAGUACUUGUUUGUAGAAGCAGAAGCACUUGUACUGUUCCAUUAAAAACUGGAAGAGGAAAAUCACAAGGGUCUGACUCUGGAUCCUCAAAGGAUUCACCACCACCAUUAUCUCCACCAAAACCCAAUUCUCAAUUUUAACCAUCUUGUCCAAGAAGAAGAAGAAGAAGAAACCCAGCAACAAACCCAGCAGAAUCACCACCAAGCUUUCAACUUUCCGUAUCUUCACCAAGACCCACAUACCCAGCAGCAUUUCUUUGGAGAAACCCGGCAGUUGCAGCUGCAAGAACAGCAGCAAACCCAGCAGAGAGCUCCAAAGAAACGCAGCUUCACUUCUUCUUCUUCUUCAACUUUGGUGGAACAGAGCAUCGAAUAUGCAAGAUCAAAAAUGGGAGAUUCCCACCACCACCACCUCAACAACCACCAAGCAACCACGUCGUCUCGCCUGGGGAUAAGGCCGCCGUCAUCCGGCGGAGGAGUCAGCACCGACAUCGUGGAGGUGGUACGAGGCAGCCACAUUGUCCGGGCGACGGGCCGGAAAGACAGGCACAGCAAGGUUUGCACGGCAAAAGGCCCGAGGGACCGCCGCGUCCGGCUCGCCGCUCACACCGCCAUUCAGUUCUACGACGUCCAGGACCGGCUUGGGUAUGACCGACCCAGCAAGGCCGUCGAUUGGCUAAUCAAGAAGGCCAAGGCCGCCAUAGACGAGCUCGAGGAGCUUCCCUCAUGGAACCCACAUUCGAUUUCGACCACCGCGGCUGUUCCAGCCAUGGAGACCCAGAACCCGUCCGCCACCGGCAUCCACUGCUUCGCGGCAGUGGACGCAAUUGGGUCUGCUAAUCGAAGAACAAUGGUGGGGAGUGGAGUUUCGGAGCAGCAAUUUGCUCAGAGCCCAAAUAGCAACUCGACUUUCCUCCCACCGUCGCUCGACUCGGACGCCAUUGCAGACACCAUCAAGUCCUUUUUCCCAAUGGGUGCUUCCGCGGCAGCAGCUGCCGCCGAGUCUCCAUCGUCGACGAUACAGUUCCAUCAGAACUACCCACCUGAUUUGCUCUCUAAAGCCAGCAGCCAGAGCCAAGAUCUGCGCCUCUCCCUGCAGUCCUUCCAAGACCCAAUUCUCCUCCACCACCACGACGCCCAAAAUCAGCACCACCACGCUCAGACCCAUCAAAACGAGCAAACCCUUUUCUCCGGAUCCCAAAACCAGCUCGGGUUUGAUGGGUCCCCCGGCUCGUGGGCAGAGCAUCACCACAACCAACAACAGCAAGAGAUGAACAGAUUCCAGAGAAUGGUGGCUUGGGACAGCGGUGGUAACGGCGGACCAUCGUCGGCAGGCGGGUUUAUAUUCAAUUCGCUGCUACCAACACAGCAGGGUAGUACUAGUCCUUUGCAACAGCAGCAGCCGUCGUUGUUCGGCCAAAGUCAGUUCUUUUCUCAGAGGGGACCCCUUCAGUCCAGUAACUCGCCGUCAGUUCGUGCUUGGAUGGUGGACCAGCAAAACCAACAAUCCAUUUCUCACGACCAUCAUCAUCAAAUCUCGCAAUCCAUUCAUCACCAACAGUCCAUUUCCGGCAUGGGAUUCGCCUCCGGAGGCGGAUUCUCCGGGUUCCACAUCCCGGCACGAAUUCACGGCGAGGAGGAGCACGACGGUACUUCCGACAAGCCGUCCUCUGCUUCCUCCAAUUCUCGCCAUUGAACCAAAGAAAUGGACUGAACUUCUCUUCAAAAGGGCUCAAGCUCUCAUCUCAUCUCUGCCUUCCACAGAGAGAUUACAAGAGCUACCUGUUGGUUUCCAAUUCAUAUAUGGCCAGGAGACGAUUUUUCGGUCGCUUUGUUCAAUGGCGUGCGCCUUGGGAAGAAGAAAUCUGAGUGCAUUUUCGGGUUUUUAUCGAUCCCUCGGUUCGUUUUAGCUUUUAUUUCAUCAGUUUGUUGCUUCUUGUUUUAGAAGUUCUGUUUUCACGUUUGAGAUGAGCUCUCAAAGCUCAAACUUUUUGCUUGUUCUAUGUUGGAUUUGUGUUUCUGUUGCUAGACUAGCAGUAUGUUGCUAAAUUUGACUUGUUUCAUUCCUAGAGUUAAAUGCAAUUCUGUGUUUUGAUACAUUA